AUUGAACGCUGGCGGCAGGCCUAACACAUGCAAGUCGAGCGAGCGGCGGACGGGUGAGUAAUGUAUGGGGACUGCCCGAUAGAGGGGGAUAACAACUGGAAACGGUAGCUCAUACCGCAUACUAUCGGAUACCCCAUAUGGGAUUGGCUAGUAGGUGAGGUAAUGGCUCACCUAGGCGACGAUCCCUAGCUGGUCUUAGAGGACGACCAGCCACACUGGGACGGGGAAACGGCCCAGACUCCUACGGAGGCAGCAGUGGGGAAUUUUGGACAAUGGGGGAAACCCUGAUCCAGCCAGCCCGCGUGUAUGAGGAAGGCCUUCGGGUUGUAAAGUACUUUUGGCAGAGAAGCGGUAUCUGCAGAAGAAGCACCGGCUAACUACGUGCCAGCAGCCGCGGUAAUUC
rnacentral:rRNA from 1 species